UCACUUUGGUGCCUAGGCUGAGACCGAAGUGGUGCAAUCUCAGCUCACCACAGCCUUGACCUCUUGGGCUCAGGUGA
rnacentral:miRNA from 1 species